AUUGUAAUAUGAGUUUGAUCCUGGCUCAGGGUGAACGCUAGUAGUAUGCUUUACACAUGCGAGUUUAACGAAAUGAUUUUUUUUCGUAGCGAACGGGUGAGGAAAAUGCAGUAAUUUUGCCUUUUAAUUUAUGAUAAAACAUAUUCAAAAAAUUAUAAGUUUUUUUUGAAAAAUUUUUGUUAAUAAUAAAUAAAAAUAAAGAUUGUUUAAAAACAAUUGUUAAAAGAUAAAGCUGCGUAAGAUUAGGUAGUUGUUAAUUUAAAAGACUAACAAGCCUAUGAUCUUUAGUUGAUCUUAGAGGAUGAUCAACCACACUGGAACUGAGACAAGGUCCAGGCUGAAAUUUUCGGCCAGCAGUGAGGAAUAUUGGACAAUGAACGAAAGUUUGAUCCAGCAAUACUAUCUGAAUGAUGACGGCUAUUUAGUUGUAAAAUUCUUUCGUUAAAGAUGAUAAUGACAUUAUUUAAAGAAGUAAGUCCCGGCUAAUCUCGUGCCAGCAGCCGCGGUAAUACGGGAGGGGCGAGCGUUAUCCGUAAUGACUGGGCGUAAAGGGUUCGUAGACUGUGAAGUAAGUUAUUUGUCAAAUCUUAAAGCUUAACUUUAAAAAAACACUUAAUACUGCUUUACUUGAGUUUUUUACAGAAGAGUAGAAUUUUAUAUGUAGGGUUAAACUCCAUAAAUAUAUAAAGGAAUACCAUUAGCGAAGGCGUCUCUUUAGUAAAAACUGACGUUGAGGGACGAAAGUGUAGGUAGCAAACAGGAUUAGAUACCCUGGUAGUCUACACUGUAAAUUCUGAGUGCUGUAAUUUGAUUUAAUAAAAUUGGAUUUUAUAAGCUAACGCCAUAAGCACUCCGCCUGAGGAGUACGAUCGCAAGAUUGGAACUCAAAGGAAUUGACGGGGGCCUACAACGAGUGGUGGAGCAUGUGGUUUAAUGCGAUAAUCCGCGCAAAACCUUACCAAUCCUUGAAUAAAAUAAAUUUAUUUAAAUUUUAUACUUGUUUAUUUUAAAUUAUAAUUUUACAGGUGUUGCACGACUGUCGUCAGCUCGUGUCGUGAGAUGUUGGGUUAAUUCCUUUAACGGGCGUAACUCUUAUUUUUAAAAUAUUUUUCGUAAUUUAUUAUUAAUUUCGUUUUAAAAAAACCAACAAUAAUAAGUUGAAGGAAGUGAGAACUAAGCCAAGUCACUGUGGCCUUAAUGGAUUGGGCUACACACGUGCUACAAUGAAAAUUACAAAAAGUUACUAAAAAUUCAAAAUUGUAGUUAAUCUUUAAAAUUUUUCUUAGUUCAGAUUAUAGGCUGCAACUCGCUUAUAUGAAGGUGGAAUCACUAGUAAUCGCAAAUCAGAAUGUUGUGGUGAAUAUGUAGCUUGGCCUUGUACACACCGCCCGUCACAUGCAGAAAAUCAGUUUUGCUUGAAGAAUAAAAAACUAAACUUUUUUAGAGAAAAUCUGAAUCUUUUUAUUUUUUAAUCCAUUGAAAGAUUGACAAUUUGGAUGAAGUCGUAACAAGGUAGCUGUACGGGAACGUGUAGCUGGAA
rnacentral:rRNA from 1 species